rnacentral:rRNA from 1 species
UACGUAGGUGGCAAGCGUUGUCCGGAUUUAUUGGGCGUAAAGCGAGCGCAGGCGGUUCCUUAAGUCUGAUGUGAAAGCCCACGGCUCAACCGUGGAAGGUCAUUGGAAACUGGGGAACUUGAGUGCAGAAGAGGAGAGUGGAAUUCCAUGUGUAGCGGUGAAAUGCGUAGAUAUAUGGAGGAACACCAGUGGCGAAGGCGACUCUCUGGUCUGUAACUGACGCUGAGGCUCGAAAGCGUGGGUAGCAAACAGG